CCUCUUCCACAGUAUGCUCAAUAAAGUAAAUUUUAAAAAAAGGGCAAAUAGCAAAGAGACUAUGGAUUCAAUGCAAUCCUUAUAUAUACACCCCCAUUCCUUGCUAGUGCUGGCGACUGGACCCAGGGUUUUGUACCUGUGGCUUACCAAAACUUAGCUGUUUAUUUUCUGAAAAUAUGUUCUUAAAUUUCAUUUGGAAAUGGCAAGGGAUUCCCCCCACCGAAAAAAAGCCAAAACAAAGAGAGGGUUUUACACUGUCCAUUCAUAAAUCAGAAUGACUGAAUGGACUUACAGGAAACACAUGCAUCCCCUCACCCACAAAUUAAAGGCUGAGAUGGCUCUCGGAGCUGAGGAGAUGGAGGUCUGAGGCGUCCCUUCCGUCUGCAGCCAGUGAGUCUAAAGCGGUAGUAUAGGGCCGGCUGGCAAGCCAGGUCAGCAGGUAGCGCACGUGCCAUCCAAGCCUGAUGACCUAAGUUCUGACUGCUGGGCGUCACGGAGCAGAGAACCAACUCCCGGAAGUGGUCCUCUGACCUCUACAUGGGCUGAGGCAUGCGUGCGCCUGCGCAUCAGGUGCGCAUGCGGAUAAUAAUGACAUCGAUAGAGCACUACGCUUGUUCCUGGAGAUUUGCAAGACGCCAGCAUCAUCAGAAAUGCAGAGGAGUGUUUGAGGGCUCAGCAUCUCCUUGGCUCAUCCUGACUGGGUUCUAAUCCUUGGCAUUUGAGUGGCAAGUGCUUGCUUGGAACAGCCAAAACCCAAGAUUCUUGGGUAGGAAAUCAAGAGCAGAUGAGAGUGCGAGAACAUUCUGGAAGCUGUUUAUGGAAAUGGUCACAGUCAAACGUGGUCCCAUCCCACUGCUGUUUGUCACACUGGGCAAGAAGAGGUCCCGGGACCUGUUGCAAUAGUAGCUGGAGACGCAGCUCCCGCUAAUGCUCUCAGGGACACCUGACAAUUCUCAGGUUACAAGACAUCCGUGCUUUCUCCCAAUUCACAAACUGUCAAGAGGGGUACGCCAGCUGCCUGGUAACUCUACUGUCACCGCCACGUGUACAGAUUCCCUUAACAUCCGGAUGACUGUGGAUACUAGUUAGCAGUCCUAAUUUUGAUGCGCACUGUAACCAGCUACCUCACACUGCUCCUGGCAUGCCUACUCUUCCACGGUGGACUAUAUCCCUUCCUUCUUAGAUGAUCCAACAAGGCUCUUGUGGCUUCAGGAUACAGCGAGGAGGAGGAGGACAUUGGAAGAGGAGCCACAUUGGUGAACAGAGAACAGUGAGAGCAGGGAGGAGCAGCAGCCAUUGGGGACGACUCUCCAAAUGCCUAGCACGCCAGGCCUGGGGUGCAGAAGAAACUCAUCAACGGCAGAACUCGACUUCUCACACUUCAGGGGGAAAUGUCAAUCACAGCUCAGGAGGGUAAUGUCAUGGCAUAUUUGAGAUGGUUCAUAGAUGGCACCUCCUCAUUGGAUCCUCCCAGGGGCAAAGGAGCAGUGGGUCUCUCCCAGCCUUUUUUCACAAGUGUGCUGAUGUCACUUCUGGGGGCUCUAGACUCGUGACCUCAAUGUCCCUGCCCUAAUGCCAUCACGAUGAGCAUGUCUCAUUGCAUAUGAACUUCGUGUGUCUCAUUACAUAUGGCUCAUAACAUACAUACAUUGGAUGACGCUAACAUCAGACCACAUGUGUUGGUAAUACUGACUGUCACCUUGACAGGUUCUGGGGUAACCUAGGAGAUGAACCUUGUACUGGCUGGUUCUGUAUGUCAACUCAACACAAGCUGCAGUUAUCA
rnacentral:sRNA from 1 species